GAUGAACGCUGGCGGCGUGCCUAAUACAUGCAAGUCGAGCGAACAGACGAGGAGCUUGCUCCUCUGACGUUAGCGGCGGACGGGGGAGUAACACGUGGAUAACCUACCUAUAAGACUGGGAUAACUUCGGGAAACCGGAGCUAAUACCGGAUAAUAUAUUGAACCGCAUGGUUCAAUAGUGAAAGACGGUUUUGCUGUCACUUAUAGAUGGAUCCGCGCCGCAUUAGCUAGUUGGUAAGGUAACGGCUUACCAAGGCAACGAUGCGUAGCCGACCUGAGAGGGUGAUCGGCCACACUGGAACUGAGACACGGUCCAGACUCCUACGGGAGGCAGCAGUAGGGAAUCUUCCGCAAUGGGCGAAAGCUUGACGGAGCAACGCCGCGUGAGUGAUGAAGGUCUUCGGAUCGUAAAACUCUUUUAUUAGGGAAGAACAAAUGUGUAAGUAACUAUGCACGUCUUGACGGUACCUAAUCAGAAAGCCACGGCUAACUACGUG
rnacentral:rRNA from 1 species